rnacentral:rRNA from 1 species
UACGAAGGGUGCAAGCGUUAAUCGGAAUUACUGGGCGUAAAGGGUGCGUAGGCGGUUGCUUAAGUCUGCUGUGAAAUCCCCGGGCUCAACCUGGGAAUGGCAUUGGUGACUGCACGGCUAGAGUGUGUCAGAGGGGGGUAGAAUUCCACGUGUAGCAGUGAAAUGCGUAGAGAUGUGGAGGAAUACCGAUGGCGAAGGCAGCCCCCUGGGAUAACACUGACGCUCAUGCACGAAAGCGUGGGGAGCAAACAGG